rnacentral:tRNA from 1 species
GCAGCAAUAGCUCAGUGGUAGAGCCCCGCUUCUCGUGCAGGGAGACCCGGGUGCGAUUCCCGGUUGCUUCC